UAACGCGUGAGGAACCUGCCUCAAAGAGGGGGACAACAGUUGGAAACGACUGCUAAUACCGCAUAAGCCCACGGGUCGGCAUCGACCAGAGGGAAAAGGAGCAAUCCGCUUUGAGAUGGCCUCGCGUCCGAUUAGCUAGUUGGUGAGGUAAUGGCCCACCAAGGCGACGAUCGGUAGCCGGACUGAGAGGUUGAACGGCCACAUUGGGACUGAGACACGGCCCAGACUCCUACGGGAGGCAGCAGUGGGGAAUAUUGCACAAUGGGGGUAACCCUGAUGCAGCGACGCCGCGUGGAGGAAGAAGGUCUUCGGAUUGUAAACUCCUGUUGUUGGGGAAGAUAAUGACGGUACCCAACAAGGAAGUGACGGCUAACUACGUGCCAGCAGCCGCGGUAAAACGUAGGUCACAAGCGUUGUCCGGAAUUACUGGGUGUAAAGGGAGCGCAGGCGGGGAGACAAGUUGGAAGUGAAAUCUAUGGGCUCAACCCAUAAACUGCUUUCAAAACUGUUUUUCUUGAGUAGUGCAGAGGUAGGCGGAAUUCCCGGUGUAGCGGUGGAAUGCGUAGAUAUCGGGAGGAACACCAGUGGCGAAGGCGGCCUACUGGGCACCAACUGACGCUGAGGCUCGAAAGUGUGGGUAGCAAACAGGAUUAGAUACCCUGGUAGUCCACACCGUAAACGAUGAUUACUAGGUGU
rnacentral:rRNA from 1 species